GACCCGGAAACGGAUUAUCCGGAGCCAAGGUCCGCUCGGGUGAGUGCCCUCCGCUUUUUGUGGCCAAACCCAGCCACGCAGUCCCCUCCCUGCGGCGUCCUCCACACCCGGGGUCUGCUGGUCUCCGCGGAUGUCACAGGCUCGGCAACCGCCCUCCUGUCGGCGGGGAGUCCCGCGACGCCCGGAAAUGCUCCGAAGCCUGUCGCUCAGCUGCCAGAUCUGCGUCUGUGUCCGGUUCCGUCACUGAGGUCGCCCCUGUCCGGCCCUUCCACCCUAGUUCUCUUCACCGUCCGCCCAUCCUAUCGCGCGCGGCCUCAGGUCCCCAUUCGGCAUGUGGCUUGUCUUCCAUCGUCCCCACCCUCGCCCCUCUUGGCCCCUCAGGGCAGCCCUGGGAUUCGGCAGACGCCAGUCCUCCCUGAGAUGCUUCCCCGUCCUUCCCUCCGCCAGGCCCUACGUCUCCGCAAACCCCACGCUUCGGGGUGGCCGCCUCAGACAGGACCCUGAGUCCGAGACUGGGGUAGGGGACCUGCCCGAUCCUGUAACAACCCUCGUGCUUCUGCACAAUCGCCUCCCACUAGCGGUGACUGUUGGGUGUCUACCUUCCCGGUGUCCCACUGAGAAGCGGGCUCCUCCUUGGCAGGGGCUUCUUCAUUGCCUCGCUGUGGAUGUCGAGGUGGGGCAGGAGAGUGAGGAGAAAACAGAGAGGAGGGAGGUAGAGCCAACGAGCGAGAAAAGGGGAGGGAAGUUUAGAUGGGAAGUGGAUGGGUCUGAGGAAUUUGAACAAACACCGACAGUGAAGGAGAGUGACCUGAGCAAGCAGUAGUGGGGUAAAUGGAAAUAGACAAAAUGGGAAUCAGCAGAGAUAUGGAGGACAGAAUACAAUGAGGAGGCCUUGACCGUCAGUAGCAGAGAGGGCAGCAGAAGCCUAAUUCCCAAAUUCCUUAGUGGUUUUCUGAUUUCCAAAUUAGUUUCCCUUUUAAAUUUAUUGUGUCAGGUUCAGCUUAUGAGGCCUCAAUACUUUUCAGUCUUAAUUGUAUAUUGAAAAUACUUUUUGUUUACUAAAUGCUUUUUACAUUAAUUCAGUGUGCACUCCGUAAGGAUAUUGAUGAUUUGAGUUAGUUUAGUAUUCAACAGCUUCCUCUAUUCCUUUGUAUGAUCUCUGUAUUUAAUGGCUGUGGCAUAAAGUUUCCAACUAAGUAUAAGUAUCAAGUUUUCUUUGUGAUGUUUUCUGCAAAUAUUGAAGGAUGACCUGGAUUGUCCUAGAACUUUGUUCCAACAGAUUACAUGUGUUCAUAACGAAUAAAUUGCUCAAAGAUAUUUCCA
rnacentral:lncRNA from 1 species